CGGGGACAACAUUCCAAGGGAUGCUAAUACCGGAUGUGACGCUCCUAUCGCAUGACGGGAGCGUGAAAGAUGGCCUCUACAUGUAAGCUAUCGCUAAAGGAUGGGCCUGCGUCUGAUUAGCUAGUUGGUAGUGUAACGGACGACCAAGGCGAUGAUCAGUAGCCGGUCUGAGAGGAUGAACGGCCACAUUGGGACUGAGACACGGCCCAG
rnacentral:rRNA from 1 species